ensembl:ribozyme RNaseP_nuc Nuclear RNase P
GAGGAGGGAAGCUCAUCAGUCAGCAGGCCUUGCAGAGUGUGUGUCCCUCCCAGGCCCUGGGAAGGUCUGAGAGAGGCCCUUGCAUAGCCCUAAGAGAAGCUCUUGGAGCAGGGAGCCGAGCUUCCAGAAACCAGGGCUUGAAGAGAGGGUGAGCCAACUGGGCAGGAGAGACAAUGGACACAGAGAAUGUACCCCACACUGGAGCUUCAAACUGGCUCACUGCCAGCAACAGCUGAGGAGAGGCAUCUCAAAGGCCUCAUAACCCAAUUCAGAAUGUUUCCCUUGCCUU